rnacentral:rRNA from 1 species
AUUGAACGCUGGCGGCAUGCUUUACACAUGCAAGUCGAACGGUAACAGGCCUUCGGGUGCUGACGAGUGGCGAACGGGUGAGUAAUGCAUCGGAACGUGCCCAAUCGUGGGGGAUAACGUAGCGAAAGUUACGCUAAUACCGCAUAAGCCCUGAGGGGGAAAGUGGGGGACCGCAAGGCCUCACGCGAAUGGAGCGGCCGAUGUCAGAUUAGCUAGUUGGCGGGGUAAUGGCCCACCAAGGCAACGAUGGGUAGCGGGUGUGAGAGCACGAUCCGCCUCACUGGGACUGAGACACUGCCCAGACACCUACGGGUGGCUGCAGUCGAGAAUCUUCGGCAAUGGGGGGAAACCCUGACCGAGCGACGCCGCGUGCGAGAUGAAGGCCCUCGGGUUGUAAACCGCUGUCGUAAGGGAACAAAUCCAUAGGGGUACUCCUCUAUGGUUGAGUGAUCUUAGGAGAAGGACGGGCUAAGUUCGUGCCAGCAGCCGCGGUAAUG